UUAUUGUUUGUCUUAAAGAAGUUGCAAUGCAAAUGAAAAAUAUACAUCUUAAACUUGGCAUGUCCGAACUACUGUUCUGGAUGUUUAUAAGGAAUGUUCAAAGUAAAAAAUAUGAAAAACAAGAAUGUUUAAGAACUUUAACAUUUCACCAUGUGCACUCUUGGUACAUGUUUUUUUUGUUCAUUUUUUGCCACAUGAAUUUUCUUGUUAUCUGUUA
rnacentral:lncRNA from 1 species